rnacentral:rRNA from 1 species
GCUGAAGCCCUGGUGCUUGCACCGGGUGGAUGAGUGGCGAACGGGUGAGUAACACGUGAGUAACCUGCCCCUGACUUCGGGAUAAGCCCGGGAAACUGGGUCUAAUACCGGAUACGACUGCCGGACGCAUGUCUGGUGGUGGAAAGUUUUUUCGGUUGGGGAUGGGCUCGCGGCCUAUCAGUUUGUUGGUGAGGUAAUGGCUCACCAAGACGACGACGGGUAGCCGGCCUGAGAGGGCGACCGGCCACACUGGGACUGAGACACGGCCCAGACUCCUACGGGAGGCAGCAGUGGGGAAUAUUGCACAAUGGGGGAAACCCUGAUGCAGCGACGCAGCGUGCGGGAUGACGGCCUUCGGGUUGUAAACCGCUUUCAGCAGGGAAGAAGCGCAAGUGACGGUACCUGCAGAAGAAGUACCGGCUAACUACGUGCCAGCAGCCGCGGUAAUACGUAGGGUACGAGCGUUGUCCGGAAUUAUUGGGCGUAAAGAGCUCGUAGGUGGUUGGUCACGUCUGCUGUGGAAACGCAACGCUUAACGUUGCGCGUGCAGUGGGUACGGGCUGACUAGAGUGCAGUAGGGGAGUCUGGAAUUCCUGGUGUAGCGGUGAAAUGCGCAGAUAUCAGGAGGAACACCGGUGGCGAAGGCGGGACUCUGGGCUGUAACUGACACUGAGGAGCGAAAGCAUGGGGAGCGAACAGGAUUAGAUACCCUGGUAGUCCAUGCCGUAAACGUUGGGCACUAGGUGGUGGGGGGGCAUUCCACGUUCUCCGCGCCGUAGCUAACGCAUUAAGUGCCACGCCUGGGGGAGUACGGUCGCAAGGCUAAAACUCAAAGGAAUUGACGGGGGCCCGCACAAGCGGCGGAGCAUGCGGAUUAAUUCGAUGCAACGCGAAGAACCUUACCAAGGCUUGACAUACACCGGACCGUCCUGGAAACAGGUCCUCUUCUUUGAAGCUGGUGUACAGGUGGGUGCAUGGUUGUCGUCAGCUCGUGUCGUGAGAUGUUUGGGUUAAGUCCCGCAACGAGCGCAACCCUCGUUCUAUGUUG